rnacentral:rRNA from 1 species
UACAGAGGUCCCAAGCGUUGUUCGGAUUUACUGGGCGUAAAGGGUGCGUAGGCGGUUGGGUAAGUCUGACGUGAAAUCUCCGGGCCUAACCCGGAAACUGCGUUGGAUACUAUUUGACUAGAGGAAUGGAGGGGAGACUGGAAUACUUGGUGUAGCAGUGAAAUGCGUAGAUAUCAAGUGGAACACCAGUGGCGAAGGCGGCCAUCUGGGACAACACUGACGCUGAAGCACGAAAGCGUGGGGAGCAAACAGG